rnacentral:rRNA from 1 species
AGAGUUUGAUCCUGGCUCAGGACGAACGCUGGCGGCGCGCCUAACACAUGCAAGUCGAACGAGCGAGAGAGAGCUUGCUUUCUCGAGCGAGUGGCGAACGGGUGAGUAACGCGUGAGGAACCUGCCUCAAAGAGGGGGACAACAGUUGGAAACGACUGCUAAUACCGCAUAAGCCCACGACCCGGCAUCGGGUAGAGGGAAAAGGAGCAAUCCGCUUUGAGAUGGCCUCGCGUCCGAUUAGCUAGUUGGUGAGGUAACGGCCCACCAAGGCGACGAUCGGUAGCCGGACUGAGAGGUUGAACGGCCACAUUGGGACUGAGACACGGCCCAGACUCCUACGGGAGGCAGCAGUGGGGAAUAUUGCACAAUGGGGGAAACCCUGAUGCAGCGACGCCGCGUGGAGGAAGAAGGUCUUCGGAUUGUAAACUCCUGUUGUUGAGGAAGAUAAUGACGGUACUCAACAAGGAAGUGACGGCUAACUACGUGCCAGCAGCCGCGGUAAAACGUAGGUCACAAGCGUUGUCCGGAAUUACUGGGUGUAAAGGGAGCGCAGGCGGGAAGACAAGUUGGAAGUGAAAUCCAUGGGCUCAACCCAUGAACUGCUUUCAAAACUGUUUUUCUUGAGUAGUGCAGAGGUAGGCGGAAUUCCCGGUGUAGCGGUGGAAUGCGUAGAUAUCGGGAGGAACACCAGUGGCGAAGGCGGCCUACUGGGCACCAACUGACGCUGAGGCUCGAAAGUGUGGGUAGCAAACAGGAUUAGAUACCCUGGUAGUCCACACCGUAAACGAUGAUUACUAGGUGUUGGAGGAUUGACCCCUUCAGUGCCGCAGUUAACACAAUAAGUAAUCCACCUGGGGAGUACGACCGCAAGGUUGAAACUCAAAGGAAUUGACGGGGGCCCGCAC